GAUGAAGAACGCAGCGAAAUGCGAUACGUAAUGUGAAUUGCAGAAUUCAGUGAAUCAUCGAAUCUUUGAACGCAUAUUGCGCUCUCUGUAUUCCGGAGAGCAUGCUUGUUUGAGUAUCAGUAAACACCUCAACUUCCAUAUCUUUUUUGAAAUGGGAGUUGGACUUGAGUGAUCCCAACGCUUUUCCUCACCGAAAAGUGGCGGGUUACUUGAAAUGCAGGUGCAGCUGGACUUUUCUCUGAGCUAUAAGCAUAUCUAUUUAGUCUGCCUAAAAAACAGAUUAUUACCUUUGCUGCAGCUAACAUAAAGGAGAUUAGUUCUUGUGCUGACUGAUGCAGGAUUCACAAAGACGGCUUCGGCCGACUUUGUAAACUCGAUCUCAAAUCAAGUAAGACUACCCGCUGAACUUAAGCAUAUCAAUAAGCGGAGGA
rnacentral:misc_RNA from 1 species